AUUGAACGCUGGCGGCAGGCCUAACACAUGCAAGUCGAGCGGAUGAAGGGAGCUUGCUCCUGGAUUCAGCGGCGGACGGGUGAGUAAUGCCUAGGAAUCUGCCUGGUAGCGGGGGACAACGUCCGGGAACGGGCGCUAAUACCGCAUACGUCCUGUGGGAGAAAGUGGGGGAUCUUCGGACCUCACGCUAUCAGAUGAGCCUAGGUCGGAUUAGCUAGUUGGUGGGGUAAAGGCCUACCAAGGCGACGAUCCGUAACUGGUCUGAGAGGAUGAUCAGUCACACUGGAACUGUGACACGGUCCCGCCUCCUACGGGAGGCAGCAGUGGGGAAUAUUGGACAAUGGGCGAAAGCCUGAUCCAGCCAUGCCGCGUGUGUGAAGAAGGCCUUCGGAUUGUAAGGCACUUUAAGUUGGGAGGAAGGGCAGUAAGUUAAUACCGUGCUGUUUUGACGUCACCAACAGAGUAAGCUCCGGCUAACUUCGUG
rnacentral:rRNA from 1 species